UUCUCAACAAACCAUAAGGACAUUGGUACUUUAUACUUCAUAUUUGGAGCAUGAGCAGGAAUAGUAGGAACAUCAAUAAGAAUACUUAUUCGUGCUGAACUUGGCCAACCCGGAUCUCUAAUUGGGGAUGACCAGAUUUAUAAUGUUAUUAUUACAGCUCACGCAUUCGUAAUAAUUUUCUUUAUAGUAAUACCUAUUAUAAUUGGUGGAUUUGGUAAUUGACUUGUUCCACUAAUAAUUGGUGCACCAGAUAUAGCAUUUCCACGAAUAAAUAAUAUAAGUUUUUGAUUACUACCACCUUCACUAACCCUUCUUCUUACAUCUUCUAUAGUAGAUAAUGGUGCUGGUACAGGAUGAACAGUUUACCCUCCUCUAGCAGGAGCUAUUGCACACGGGGGUGCAUCUGUAGAUCUAGCUAUUUUUUCACUGCACUUAGCAGGUGUAUCAUCUAUUCUUGGUGCAGUGAAUUUCAUUACAACAGCAAUUAAUAUACGAUCAGAAAGUAUAACUUUAGAUCAAACACCUUUAUUUGUAUGAUCUGUAGCUAUUACAGCAUUACUUCUCCUUCUUUCACUUCCAGUUUUAGCAGGAGCUAUUACUAUAUUAUUAACAGAUCGAAAUUUAAAUACAUCAUUCUUUGACCCUGCAGGAGGGGGUGACCCAAUUCUAUAUCAACAUCUAUUUUGAUUCUUUGGACACCCAGAAGUUUAUAUUUUAAUUCUACCGGGGUUCGGAAUUAUUUCACAUAUUGUAUGUCAAGAAAGAGGAAAAAUUGAAUCAUUUGGAACAUUAGGUAUAAUUUAUGCUAUACUAUCAAUUGGACUAAUAGGAUUUACUGUAUGAGCACAUCAUAUGUUUACAGUAGGAAUGGAUGUUGACACACGAGCAUAUUUUACAUCAGCAACAAUAAUUAUUGCUGUACCUACAGGAAUUAAGGUAUUUAGAUGAUUAGCUACAUUAUAUGGAACUAAAUUCAAGUUCAAUCCACCAUUAUUAUGAGCUCUAGGAUUUAUUUUCCUAUUUACAAUUGGUGGAUUAACAGGAUUAGUAUUAGCAAAUUCAUCACUUGAUAUUGUAUUACAUGAUACAUAUUAUGUAGUAGCCCACUUUCAUUAUGUAUUAUCUAUAGGAGCAGUAUUUGCAAUUAUAGGAGGUGUCAUUCAAUGAUAUCCACUAUUUACAGGAUUAACUAUAAAUAAUACAUGAUUAAAAAUCCAAUUUACAAUUAUAUUCAUUGGAGUAAAUUUAACAUUCUUUCCUCAACACUUCCUAGGAUUAGCAGGAAUACCUCGACGAUACUCUGACUACCCAGACGCAUAUACAUCAUGAAACGUAGUAUCAAGAAUUGGGUCUACAAUUUCUAUUGUAGGAAUCAUUAUAUUCAUUGUAAUUAUAUGAGAAAGAAUGAUUACAAACCGAGCAAUUAUAUUUAGAGCUAACAUAAGAAGAUCAACAGAAUGACUACAAAAUAACCCUCCUGCAGAACAUAGUUACUCAGAAUUACCAUUAAUCUCUAGAU